UAUAUCUUAGUUCAAGGAGAAUAUAAUGUUGUGGUCAUUAAGGUGGCUAAUAAGUCAGAUGUAA
rnacentral:tRNA from 1 species